rnacentral:lncRNA from 1 species
UAUUAAUGUUGCACUUGCACUGGUGUUAGUAUUGGAAUUAUGAUGUGGGCGGUUGUGGCGGGUCAAGCUAUGCUUAUUUGGAUCGAUGCCCAUGUUUAUGAGCUUCCUUCGUAAAUGUGAGUUCCAAUAAUUCUUCACUUCAUUGUCGGUACGUCCAGGCAAUCUUCCAGCUAUCAACGACCACCUGAAUUACAUUGUUUUUGGAGAUAAAUUUUAUUAAGAAUAUAUGAGAUAUCAUUUAUUAGGAUACCCUCAGGCACGUUCUUAAUCCAAAAUCUAUCCUUAAUGUAAGACAGUAUUUUAAUUUAGUCAUAGUAUUUCUUUUAUAAGGCAUAAAAGUAAGGCUUUACCUGAGCUAUUUUUAUUUGUUUAAAUUCUAAAAGUCUAAACACAAAUUUAGUGAUCAUUAGUUUUACUCAAUAUAUUGAAGUAAUAAAAGAUUUAUAUUCUUAGUUGAUACCAAUUUCGGGUUUAAUCUUACCGAUUGCCUAAGAGUGCGUGAAGCUUGAUAAUAAGGUCGUCUUCAUCUUCACCAAAGUUUCCUCUUUUAACGUCAGGCCUUAGAUAGUUUAUCCAUCUCAGCCUACAACUUUUACCACACCGAAGGAGCCCUAAAUUAUUAAACCAAUCCAAAACAACAUAAAUUAUUAGCAUACAUACAUAUAUAUAUAUAUAUGAUUCAUCCUUGAUUUGAAUUAUAGGGUAGCGGAUGCAAUGAAAUGGUAGAAACCAACCAGCAGCCUGAGGAAGAGUGCGCCAGCAACC